rnacentral:rRNA from 1 species
AUUGAACGCUGGCGGCAUGCCUUACACAUGCAAGUCGAACGGCAGCACGGGGCAACCUGGUGGCGAGUGGCGAACGGGUGAGUAAUGCAUCGGAACGUGCCAUUGAGUGGGGGAUAACGUAGCGAAAGUUGCGCUAAUACCGCAUAUUCUGUGAGCAGGAAAGCAGGGGACCGCAAGGCCUUGCGCUCUUUGAGCGGCCGAUGUCAGAUUAGCUAGUUGGUGAGGUAACGGCUUACCAAGGCGACGAUCUGUAGCGGGUCUGAGAGGAUGAUCCGCCACACUGGAACUGAGACACGGUCCAGACUCCUACGGGAGGCAGCAGUGGGGAAUUUUGGGACAAUGGGCGCAAGCCUGAUCCAGCCAUGCCGCGUGAGUG